CUGCCUGGUAGUGGGGGAUAACGUUCGGAAACGGACGCUAAUACCGCAUACGUCCUACGGGAGAAAGCAGGGGACCUUCGGGCCUUGCGCUAUCAGAUGAGCCUAGGUCGGAUUAGCUAGUUGGUGGGGUAAUGGCUCACCAAGGCUACGAUCCGUAACUGGUCUGAGAGGAUGAUCAGUCACACUGGAACUGAGACACGGUCCAGACUCCUACGGGAGGCAGCAGUGGGGAAUAUUGGACAAUGGGCGAAAGCCUGAUCCAGCCAUGCCGCGUGUGUGAAGAAGGUCUUCGGAUUGUAAAGCACUUUAAGUUGGGAGGAAGGGUUGUAGAUUAAUACUCUGCAAUUUUGACGUUACCGACAGAAUAAGCACCGGCUAACUCUGUGCCAGCAGCCGCGGUAAUACAGAGGGUGCAAGCGUUAAUCGGAAUUACUGGGCGUAAAGCGCGCGUAGGUGGUUUGUUAAGUUGGAUGUGAAAUCCCCGGGCUCAACCUGGGAACUGCAUUCAAAACUGACUGACUAGAGUAUGGUAGAGGGUGGUGGAAUUUCCUGUGUAGCGGUGAAAUGCGUAGAUAUAGGAAGGAACACCA
rnacentral:rRNA from 1 species